UGUGCUCACCUAUCUUCCACUCCCCACCCUGGCUAAUAGCCAUUAAUGGACUUAACCUCCAUGAAUUUAUUCAGUUCUCUUUUAAACCCCGUUAUAGUCCUAGCCUUCACAACCUACUCAGGCAAGGAGUUCGACAGGCUGACUCUGAACUGUGUGAAGAAGAACUUCCUUUUAUUUGUUUUAAACCUGCUGUCCAUUAAUUUCAUUUGGUGGCCCCUAGUUCUUAUAUUAUGGGAACAAGU